GAUGAAGAACGCAGUGAAAUGCGAUAAUUAAUGUGAAUUGCAGAAUUCAGUGAAUCAUCGAGUCUUUGAACGCACAUUGCGCCCCCUGGUAUUCCGGGGGGCAUGCCUGUCCGAGCGUCAUUGCUGCCCUCAAGCACGGCUUGUGUGUUGGGCCUCCGUCCUCCUCCCGGGGGACGGGCCCGAAAGGCAGCGGCGGCACCGCGUCCGGUCCUCGAGCGUAUGGGGCUUCGUCACCCGCUCUUGUAGGCCCGGCCGGCGCUUGCCGACACAUCAAUCUUUUUUCCAGGUUGACCUCGGAUCAGGUAGGGAUACCCGCUGAACUUAAGCAUAUCAAUAAGCGGAGGA
rnacentral:misc_RNA from 1 species